AAAAUGUUCGUAGUGAUAUUUGAAUAUUCAUGUCAACUGAAUACCACUUUCUAGGGUUUCUAGGGUACGUGAAUUUUGAUUGGUGAUUUGUUUGGCAGCAAAAUCCCGCCAACCAUGUUAGGCAAAGAUACCGUCAGCCAUUUUACAUCACAUCAAGUUGAGGUUAGUUCGUUACAAAUAUUUUGUUGCUGGAAGUUUAAUUUCUUACCAAAAUGAGCCAACCAACAAAGCCACCACCGACCACGAAAACGACCGUGCCCAAUCCUAGCGUGGCUCAACCUACAGUUCAUACUCCCCCUUACCGAUGCCGAUACUGCACGCAGGAAUUUGAUUAUUCCAUUGCACGGUAUUUACACGAGAUUUGGCAUAUUAUCAAAGAAGACGUAUAGUAACGACAAAACCCAAGUUACUGGACAGCACCAUGAGGGCGUGUUCGUCACUUGUUCAACGACUGUUUGCUGCGUUUCGUAGUCCCCUCCGCUUUUUGCAACGAUGGCUCAAGUGACCAUGCACCAGAUUGCCCUGUGGAUUCCCGCUCUUUUCAUUUUAUUCCUGACUGGCCACUUUUAGAUGUGGAAUUCAACUUAUUCAUCCAGUUCAACGUGACCGUAAAUCAAAUGAUUGCCCCACGUCUAAUCGAGGUCCCCCAAUGGAUUUUAUUGUUCUACUGAAUUGUGAGCACUUUGUUCUGUUAAGCACUUCGAUUCUCUGCGUGGGAGGCGCUAUAUAAAUACGGCUUUCUUAUUAUUAUCAUUAUUAUUAUGAGAUACCGCUCACAAUUCCCAGAACUGAUAUUCUGUCUAACCAUUGUCAUUGGCACUCACUAUUCUGACUCAGUUAAAUGUUAACCACAUCCUGCUCUUCGGUAGAAAUGUUAGUUAAGGAAACCCCAGAAUCUCUGAGGCAAAAAACACAAGUCUGGUGGUAACAAUAAACAAGUCAUGGCUAGUAUGAAAAUGUUAGAAGAAUGUUAGAAGGAUAGACUGUUUUCUGGGUUGCAAACUAUUACAGAAAGGAAAUAGCCAAACAAUAGCUCAAACGAUUAUCAAACGUAUUCAUAAGCAUAUCCUGACUUUACCCAGCUGUAUAUGCAUAGGCCUAUUUCACGACUGUUGUUUUUCAUUUCCUUAAAACGUUUACAUUUAAAAAUUUUUAGGAAUAACAUUUCUAGAAAUACUUUCCUUAGACAAUGCUAAUUGUUAUAGAGUUGAGCACAGCCUACUUUAUCAAUAUAUAAAGACAAAGAUCAAAAUGUUUGCCUUAGAAAGCUCUCUGUGAAUAUGUAUCUGUUUAUUUGUUGAGUAAUUCAUACGAAUAACAAAAAGAAAUAGAAAUUAUUAAAAUGUAGUUGAAUAACAAGUUUUGGGUUUCAAUUUCGCCGGCCAUAUUCGAUGCUUUGAACAGUUACGGAAAACAAAUGCUGAAAUAGAAUAAAUUAAAUUUUUGAAUGUGAAAUUAAACUUCACUUGAGAGAGUGUGAUUUGAAUUCUUUGGGGAAAAUUGUAGAAUAAAGAGCAAUAAAAGGUCAAUCUUCCUUAGAGUGUGUCUUUUGCUUCUUCUCAAACACUAUUUUGAGUGUCUACUGUCAUGGAAGGAACUGGAUGAGUCCAAAUAGAUAAGAGCUAAUUAAAACAACUGAAACAUUUCCACAGUUGAAACGAUUCUCAGACAGAAACUCCAUUGCCAAUGUAGGACAGCAAACAGGUGCUGACUAAUAACCAGGUUAGAAAUGGUGUGAGCUUGAAACGAUUGGUUGCUGGGGAGGGGUGGGGCUGCAUUGAAGAAACGCGCAACUUGUUCCAGGCUCUGUUGACUUGCCAUAGGGGUACAAUGUGUCGGAGAUUUCCCGUGGAAUGUGACUGGUAAUGCAUUUCAGACACUCGCCAGAAGUUACAUCACCCUUGGAAGUUGUUAUUAGCAUCCUUAUCAACUUCUGUUUAUUUUUUGGGGUGUUCUGGAGGAACGGACCGUUUUCUUGACCAUUCUAAGAAGUAACCAACAUGAGCGCAAACGCACCAAUACGAACACAAAUUUCACGGCGUAACACGCGUGCCACCCUUUCAUCUGCAGCAGAUCCUACACGUUCAAGGAGAAAGGGUGGUGGUCGGGGUGCUAAUGGUCACCAAUGUCCUUACUGCGGUAAAAGAUACAUCUCAAAACGCUGGUUUUUGAUACACCUAAGAAGUUGUCCAUGGAAGCGUUAAGAGCACGCGCUGCUGCUGCUGUUAUCUGAGCCGCAACUUGAAGAUCACAUUGCUGGUGGUCAUCUUACUGAUAGCUACGGUGAUCGUCACAGCAGUCCUUGUCACUACCCGACGAAAAUGACAAGUCACUUAGGAAAGACCCUGUCCUCUUCACAUUGAACUUGGAUAACCAGCUCAAACAUGCAACAUCGUGAGUUUCGAGUGUAAAAAAACUACGCAAUUUUUAGAAUUGCACAAGCUCUGCUUCUUAGUUAAACUGCUUUAUGUUAUCACUUUGUAAAUUUGUGACUGCUUUAAUUCAGCCAACUGGAGAAAUGGACUGCCUUUCCUACGAAACUACUGUUUACAUCAUUGUUAUCUUACAGUUUGAAAUCUUAGCCUAAUGGAAUUACAGAAGCUUUAGAUUUGAAAUCAAACCAUUUUUAUUACGAUUUAAUUAACAAGAUAAUAAAUGAAUUAAUAUUAACGUUUUAUUUAAGUGCUAGUCAUUAGGAAAUACCGACCACAUGGCGUACUUUAUUUUCUCGUUCAAAUUAGUGAAUAAUUAGUUAGAGAUUUCACUACUUACAAACUUGAGAAUGCGUUUGUCCAUUAUCGAUUCUGAGGAAUGAAAAUGCAAGUCAAAUGAAAGAUCUUUGAAAUACGCAUCGAGGUGUAUUGAAUAACAUUUCGACAAGCAACAGCACCGGCAAACUUAGCAGUUUUAUAUUAUUUCUUUGAAACAUGGUGUUUGUGUUAUUAUAAUCAUUUUGAAAAUGGAGCAAGGAUUAAUUGCUCCCUAAACCAUUAAUAAUUGGUACUGUUAGAUGCUUACAUGCAUUUUCCCCGACCAAUGAGCAAAUACUGGCAAAGUGCAUCGAGGAAACGACCCAAAGGAACGUUGUACAUGUUGUACAUGUCAGUUAUUACCGUCUCUGGUAAAUUCGCUUUCUUAAUACAGAUUGUGUAGGCCCCCUACUUAUCAAUUAAGUUUUUUGAAUUUUGGUGUAAUUUUGUUUUUCAAGAACCUAGACUAUCCGCUUAAUGUACAUAAUAAUUAACACCAUUGCUUUAUAUGAUUCACAGUUCACCACUUUGUUUCAUUAUGUCUAGGGGUCCUUGUAUCUGUUCGUUUAUCACUUUAUGUUAUCCCAUUAUGGGGUUCACUUUCGACAAGGUCUGUGUACCUUUCUAGCCGUUUUCAUUGCUGCUUUGUACUUUGAAGUUGCGAAAAACCUCUUUAGCUAACUGUGUUCCUGAUUAUGUUUCUACCCUAAGAUGGAAAGAAAGUCAAGUCAAUCUAAGUUUUGAUGAAUUGCUCUGUUUACUCCAAAAAACUAACCCGGAAUCUGACAAGGAAUAGUCUUAAUUAGAAAAGUCAUACAUGUGUGCCCGAAAAAACAACUGCAAAGAAUAUCAAGAGAAUUUUGUUUAUUGUAUUAUUUAAAAGCAUGUUUGUUUUCUCAUUACAAAUUACCUGAUUUUCUGCUCUAAUAAUCUUGCAAAAAUCACUUUCAAUCCUAUACACAUGUACUCAGAUAUUGUAGUUUGCAUGUUGAUAUAGACAUAGUAUUUUCCAAAUCAUGCAGUCGGGUUUUUACUUUUCUUAAGUAAAUGGCUUCUGUACAUUCUUUUAAAGUAUGCUCUCAGUAGAAAUACGUAUCACAAGAUGUUUUAAGUACAUGCCAGGAAAAGGGCAAACAAUCUAAAGUUGAUGACAAUAAAUGUUUCGGGUAAUGGUGAAUCACAGCAAGUCGUGCGCAGGCUGAAGAGCUCUCCAGCUCCGUCUUUGUCUGACCACCACCAAACAGGCCGACACCAUACACAGCCACAAAUUUCCCUAAAAGUGAGCUCUUGUUCUUUUGCUAAGAUAGUAACCUAAUGAAACUUGUUUAAAAUGAAUAUGUCUGAAUUAUAGAACGCGUUGAAGUAUAUUUACAUGUACUACAAAAUAAAUAGGUGCGUGGUAGCUGGCAUGAUUCAGCGAGUAUAGCUGUACCGUCCGUUAGGCACGGUGGCCCUGCGAGAGAUUUGCCUGUGGCACGGUAAAUCGUCCAUUGGCGGAACACCCCGUGAUUAUCGAUAACCAAGCAAAUUAAUCAUCUUUAGGGAAAAAAGA
rnacentral:lncRNA from 1 species